rnacentral:rRNA from 1 species
UACGUAGGGCGCAAGCGUUAUCCGGAAUUAUUGGGCGUAAAGAGCUUGUAGGCGGUUUGUCGCGUCUGCCGUGAAAGUCCGGGGCUCAACUCCGGAUCUGCGGUGGGUACGGGCAGACUAGAGUGAUGUAGGGGAGACUGGAAUUCCUGGUGUAGCGGUGAAAUGCGCAGAGAUCGGGAGGAACACCCGUAGCGAAGGCGGCACUCUGGGCCGACCCUGACGCUGAGGCGCGAAGGCGUGGGGAGCGAACGGG